rnacentral:rRNA from 1 species
GUACACGUGUGACUAGCAUAUCAAUAAGCGGAGGAAAAGAAACUAACAAGGAUUCCCCUAGUAACGGCGAGUGAAGCGGGAAGAGCUCAAAUUUGAAAUCUUAAAGGGUUUCCCUUUACGAAUUGUAGUUUAAAGAAGUGUUUUCUGUUGAGGUUUUGGUAAAAGUUCUUUGGAAUAGGACAUCAUAGAGGGUGAGAAUCCCGUAUUUGACCUUUACUUUCAACUUUGUGAUACACUUUCAAAGAGUCGGAUUGUUUGGGAAUGCAGUCCAAAAUGGGUGGUAAAUUUCAUCUAAAGCUAAAUAUUGGCGAGAGACCGAUAGCGAACAAGUACCGUGAGGGAAAGAUGAGAAGAACUUUGAAAAGAGAGUUAAACAGUACGUGAAAUUGUCAAAAGGGAAGCGUUUGACACCAGUGUUGUUUUUCUGAAAAUCAAUUAAAGAACUGUUUAUGCUAAGUUGUUUAGACUUUAUCAGCUAUCUGUUUAGUUUUGAGCUUUUCUUUAAUGCACUUUUCAGUUAACAAGUCAACAUCAAUUUCUUUUGCUGUAAAAAAGCUUGAGGAAGGUGGCUUGAGAUUCGUCUUAAGUGUUUAUAGCCUCUUGCCUAUGCAGUCGGAGAGAUUGAGGUCUGCAGCGUAGAUCCUUCGGGGCUAAAUGCAUUUGUGCUAAGUUAUAGCAUUUUAUAGACAACUUGUUGACUAUGAUUUGUCUUGUAGCUUACUCGCUUAUGUUAUUUUACCUACGCUUAGGAUGUUGAAGAUGUAGCACAUCAU